GAUUGAACGCUGGCGGCAGGCCUAACACAUGCAAGUCGAGCGGAUGAAGGGAGCUUGCUCCUGGAUUCAGCGGCGGACGGGUGAGUAAUGCCUAGGAAUCUGCCCGGUAGUGGGGGAUAACGUCCGGAAACGGGCGCUAAUACCGCAUACGUCCUGAGGGAGAAAGUGGGGGAUCUUCGGACCUCACGCUAUCAGAUGAGCCUAGGUCGGAUUAGCUAGUUAGUGGGGUAAAGGCCUACCAAGGCGACGAUCCGUAACUGGUCUGAGAGGAUGAUCAGUCACACUGGAACUGAGACACGGUCCAGACUCCUACGGGAGGCAGCAGUGGGGAAUAUUGGACAAUGGGCGAAAGCCUGAUCCAGCCAUGCCGCGUGUGUGAAGAAGGUCUUCGGAUUGUAAAGCACUUUAAAUUGGGAGGAAGGGCAGUAAGUUAAUACCUUGCUGUUUUGACGUUACCAACAGAAUAAGCACCGGCUAACUUCGUG
rnacentral:rRNA from 1 species